UCAGAGAUGUCAGAAGUUUAUGAGUCUGCUUUAGGAGUAGAAUAUGGGGUUUAAUCCUCUCUCUGAU
rnacentral:tRNA from 1 species